rnacentral:rRNA from 1 species
UACGAAGGGGGCUAGCGUUGCUCGGAAUUACUGGGCGUAAAGCGCACGUAGGCGGCUCUUUAAGUCGGAGGUGAAAUCCUGGAGCUCAACUCCAGAGCUGCCUUCGAUACUGUAGAGCUUGAGUUCGGGAGAGGUGAGUGGAGCUGCGAGUGUAGAGGUGAAAUUCGUAGAUAUUCGCAAGAACACCAGUGGCGAAGGCGGCUCACUGGCCCGAUACUGACGCUGAGGUGCGAAAGCGUGGGGAGCAAACAGG